UCGCACAUCGUAGCUAACUUCACAACAUUGCGGUCAACGUCCAAUCAGAACGAAACAAUCCAUCGCCAUGUUGAAUGCCACGACACUGCUGCCCUCUGUCUGAACGAAUGUGAAUUAAACAACUGCAUGUUUUCGUAUUGGUUUCGUGUAUUUAUUCAAGAUUUUUGAUGUUUUUGCGUAUUGUUUUGUGUAUUAUUUGUGUCAUUAACGCGUGCUUAAGUUCUGGUUAAUGAAAAAUGUGGCUUGCAUUCAAAAUUUGAUAUUAAAGGCAAAUAAUAUCUUUGUUGGCUCAAGUCGACCGGCGAAUAUUUCUCAGAUACGUCUGAAGUCAAAGAUAAAACUAGCAAGUUGGUAGUGCGAUAUUGUUAAAGUUGGACUUGCGCUGUACCAUUUUGAAUCCUAAAUAGGACACUGAUGUAUGGGCGCAUCUGCAUAGAAAAACUGUAUCGCCCAAUGCGAUUUUUUGUUACGGGGAUUUUACAAGGAAAACGGUUUAAUGACUACUGGGGAUGAUUAGUCCAAAUCAUUUUAUAAUAACCUCUGCUUCCUCCAUGUCAAACUGAUAGUCUCAUUUAAUAUUGACACACUUAAAACUGGCUGCAGUAAAGAUGUUGAAGACGAUGACACAUACGGAUUUUCCCGCUUUGACAUUCGAAGAAAAAUUCCCCGCAAAGACGAGACAAUUGUCCUUAAAUAAAAGUUUCAGCUUGCGUGUUUAUUCUGGAAAAAAGUAUGCAACAGUGUUGCACGUAAGAGUAUAGCCAUAGAGAACAAUUGUCAAUGACCGACGAUCUUGGAUAAAGGGCACACGAGGUCGGAGCAAACACUAAGGUAUGUACACGAAGUUAAUAGCUGUACUGUUGCUACGAGAAAUGAUUUAUCGCAUUGCAACAUUGAAUUCUUGUAGCGGAACAAUUACCGGAUUUUCGAGACGGCCGGUAUUGAGAUUCGUGUUAUGUCGAAGCCAGUUGAGAUUUCGCCCCCGGGGUUCGGUACAAGGCAUAUCACAAUUGUAGCAUCGAUGCUGAUCAACAACACGAAGCAAAUAAAAGAAAACGCAGAAACGAGUAUAGUAGCCUGCGAGUGAGCAACUAGGUAGUGAUUACAAUAUCUCAUUUCUCUUUAAUAAAGGACCAUUUAAAAUGUACUGCCGCAAGCGAAAUUCGGUCGCCAAUUUCGGAACCUGUUUAGAAAUUAUAGGGUCAGGUCUCGGCUUAAGGUUAGGUUAGGUUUACGCUCGGGGUGUGCUCGCGUGUAAUCAAUAACGUAGUCCUACCCUUACAUUUGACAUGAUACAUAUUCGUAUAUUUGGGUUCCGCAAGUAUUAAAAAAGACCCUUCGUUAUUAAUUUUAUAAUCUUAAAACACAUCAUUAUAAUUAUAAAUAGUAUUUAAGGGUAACUUUCAAGUCGCUUUUAAGUUAUUAUUGUCGAAGUGUUUAAUAAAAUUUAAAAUCUCCAUACUUGGUCGAAUAUGCUUUAAUCACACUAUUUAUUAAAACCUAUUCUAUGAUCACAACUUAAUCAAUAAAUCAAAGUUGGAGGUUCUCUUAAUAGCAAUGUCGCAACGAAGACAUCCGCAGUAGAAUCAAGGUAACCGAGAAAUAACUCGAAGAAUAAUCAAGUGUAGUUACCACUCUACAAUGUUCGAGGAAUUGAAUUCCAAAGCGGAGAGAAAGGUCCCGACAACCUCCCUACUGAAGCUUGUAUUCAAUACGUCAUAGGGAAGUUGGUUAAGAUUGGUUGAUUCAUUUUGACAUGAAUGUCAAAAGUGUACUGGCAAAAUUUAAUGGAUAGCAUUAAGCAAAAGUGACUUAAUAAUUAUAAUCUACUGGAGUUGAAUAUUAAAGGUAAGUAAAUGUGAGUACAAUUUCUUCCAGUAAAUUUUAUGAGUAAUUAAAUUAGCUAUAGUAUAUUAUUAUUUGAUUAAUGUAUUCUAAAAUGUUAAAAUUCUACGGAACCCAAAGACCAAAAUGAUUCAGGGUAAAGAUAGAGCGAAGACAUUUUUAACAAUUCGAAUGAAUACUAAUGAGUUGUAUCGACGAAUACGACAUUUUAACAAGAUGAAUAAACUGAUCCAUUCAAAUAUAUCUUUUAGUACUUGCUAUUUUUACUUUUUAAUGCAUUAAUUUAAUUUUCAGUUAGCAAAUUGAUAGCUCAAUGAUGUUUAAUACAAUUCAUUAAUUCCAGUUUCUUUAAAUAUCUAAUUCAGUUCGAUUUAACAACACGUCAUAUUUAGGAGUUUUUAGUAAAACUUAUGCUUAAACAAAAUCUAUCCGUAUUUUAAUCUUCACCAAUUAAGUGGCUAUUUCCACUUAUCGGCUAGCCGUGUGACACUGGGCGCGUGCGACUCUAUCUUUAUUUCACAAUUGCAGUCGCCCCAGUGGAAAAAUAUACAUGAUUCCAUCUAUCUAAAAGGAACUAAAACAAUCAGAUAGAUAUUUUAAUAAUGUGUUAUAUUUUUAA